UCUGGCAGAGAAACCCUUUUGCAAAGGCCCUCAGGUAGGUAUAAGGACCUGGGGCCUGAUAUACCAGGACAACAGGAAAGAGGCUACAUGAGCCUGUGGGGGGAAGAGGACAGAGGAAUGGCAACCCUGGCGGGGCCCCGCCGGCCACACGGGGAGCCUGGAUUUAAAGUGAGUAUGUCUUCAGCCACAUUGCCUUUGGAGAGUCACAGACAGGAGUGACGAGAUCUGGGUCGUGUUUUUCAGAGUCCUCCCUGCUGCUGUGUGGACGACACGUGGGCACAGGCAGAAGUGGGCCCUGUGACCAGCUGCACUGGUUUCGUGGAAGGAAGCUCCAGGACUGGCGGGAUGGGCUCAGCCUGUAUCAAAGUCACCAAAUACUUUCUCUUCCUCUUCAACUUGAUCUUCUUUGUAAGUAUGUCCCAUGCCGUCCUGACCACCUCCGAAAAGAUUCUCCUUCCAGGGGCAUCCCAGCCUGAGCCUUUCCAGAGCCGACCGGGCCGGGGAUUGGGGGGAUUUGGUGGGUAGGGACUGAGGACGAACUAUCUCCAACGGAACCUAGUUGGGGUGGUGAGGAGAUUCCCUGCCAUUCCCAGCUGGUCCUUUGACCAAGCACUGGAUUCCUGACCCGGCCUUCCCCUCUCCUAGAUCACCCAAAGCCUGGGCUGGCGGUGGGUAUGGG
rnacentral:lncRNA from 10 species